GACCUGAUAGCAUAAUGGUUAGUGCAUCUGCUCUACUUACAAGUGAUGCUUUUCUGUAAGCAGAAGAUCCCCGUUCGAUUCGGGGUCAGGUCA